CACAAUGUAGGGGCGGAACAGGAGGAAGCAGCUGGCUGGCAGGAAGUGGGUGCUGGGCCCCUGAAAGGACCCGAGCCAGCUGAUCGACAUCACUGAAAGUGCAGCCAAGGAUGGCUAUUUAGACAUAGCCCAGCCUGUUGUUGGCCUCACAGAGCCUUCCUCUUGCUCACACAUUUCUAAACUGUUCUACCCCAAACCCCGGAAA
rnacentral:lncRNA from 1 species